rnacentral:lncRNA from 1 species
UGGUGUUUAGAGAGGUGUGUGAGACGUAAAACUCAUCUGUGUAUGUAUGUGUGUGUUUCAGGGUGGUCCUGGUGCACCUGGUGCUAAAGGGGAAAGUGGAGAUUCUGGCCCACAGGGACCGAGAGGACUUCAGGGCCCUACUGGACCACAUGGAAAAGGAGGCAAGAGGGGCCGAAAUGGAGCCGAUGGAGCCAGAGGAAUUCCUGGAGAAUCAGGAGCCAAGGUAA